UACGGGGUAGGGCAGCGUUGUCGAAUCAUUGGGCGUAAAGCGCGUGUAGGCGGCUCGGUAAGUCUGCUGUGAAAGUCCAGGGCUCAACCCUGGGAUGCCGGUGGAUACUGUCGAGCUCGAGUCCGGAAGAGGCGAGUGGAAUUCCUGGUGUAGCGGUGAAAUGCGCAGAUAUCAGGAGGAACACCGAUGGCGAAGGCAGCUCGCUGGGACGUGACUGACGCUGAGACGCGAAAGCGUGGGGAGCAAACAGG
rnacentral:rRNA from 1 species